rnacentral:rRNA from 1 species
AUUGAACGCUGGCGGCAUGCUUUACACAUGCAAGUCGAACGGUAGCAGGCCGCAAGGUGCUGACGAGUGGCGAACGGGUGAGUAAUGCAUCGGAACGUGCCCAGUCGUGGGGGAUAACUACUCGAAAGAGUAGCUAAUACCGCAUACGAUCUAUGGAUGAAAGCGGGGGACCGUAAGGCCUCGCGCGAUUGGAGCGGCCGAUGUCAGAUUAGGUAGUUGGUGGGGGAAAGGCUCACCAAGCCAACGAUCUGUAGCGGGUCUGAGAGGACGACCAGCCACACUGGGACUGAGACACGGCCCAGACUCCUACGGGAGGCCGCAGUGGGGAAUUUUGGACAAUGGGCGCAAGCCUGAUCCAGCAAUGCCGCGUGCAGGAAGAAGGCCUUCGGGUUGUAAACUGCUUUUGUACGGAACGAAACGGCUCUGGUUAAUACCCGGGGCUAAUGACGGUACCGUAAGAAUAAGCACCGGCUAACUACGUG